UUGAGGUGUUUAUACGUGUGGAAUCUACAGUGGAUUUAUUUCAUUGGAUUGGAUUCAAACUGACAGCUGCUGAAUGAAAACAUCAUUGACCCGCCCUCGGCACCUUCCCUCCCCAGUGUGUCACAACGUUGUAUCUCGAUGUGUUCGGCAGGGGAGCGAGGGCCGGAUGGGGAGCAGGUUAGCAGGGUUACAGCUGUGUUUAUCGGUACACAGCAACACCUUGCAUCACUGUCACACUUUCCGACACCUGGGAGCAGUACAGUAAAACCACACCGAGCAGCCUCGCCAGAAUAGCUGCAAGUUACACAAACAAUCCCACAUUUUAUACUCACACUU